UACAGAGGGGGCUAGCGUUGUUCGGAAUCACUGGGCGUAAAGCGCACGCAGGCGGAUCGUUAAGUCAGGGGUGAAAUCCCGAGGCUCAACCUCGGAACUGCCUUUGAUACUGGCGAUCUUUGAGUCCGGGAGAGGUGAGUGGAACUCCGAGUGUAGAGGUGAAAUUCGUAGAUAUUCGGAAGAACACCAGUGGCGAAGGCGGCUCACUGGCCCGGUACUGACGCUCAUGUGCGAAAGCGUGGGGAGCAAACAGG
rnacentral:rRNA from 1 species